rnacentral:rRNA from 1 species
UACGGAGGGAGCUAGCGUUGUUCGGAAUUACUGGGCGUAAAGCGCACGUAGGCGGCUUUGUAAGUUAGAGGUGAAAGCCCGGGGCUCAACUCCGGAACUGCCUUUAAGACUGCAUCGCUUGAAUCCAGGAGAGGUGAGUGGAAUUCCGAGUGUAGAGGUGAAAUUCGUAGAUAUUCGGAAGAACACCAGUGGCGAAGGCGGCUCACUGGCCUGGUAUUGACGCUGAGGUGCGAAAGCGUGGGGAGCAAACAGG